CCUACGGGUGGCAGCAGUGAGGAAUAUUGGUCAAUGGGCGCAGGCCUGAACCAGCCAAGUCGCGUGAGGGAAGACUGCCCUAUGGGUUGUAAACCUCUUUUAUAAGGGAGGAAUAAUGACUCCGUUUAGUCAGAUGCCCUUCCCUUAUGAAUAAGCAUCGGCGAACUCCGUGCCAGCAGCCGCGGUAAUACGGAGGAUGCGAGCGUUAUCCUGAUUUCUUGGGUUUAAAGGGUGCGUAGGCGGUAUUUUAAGUUAGUGGUAAAACGUCGGGGCUUCACCUGUAUUGGCCAUUAAAACUGGAGUACUAGAGUACAGAAGAGGUAGGCGGAAUAAGUUAAGUAGCGGUGAAAUGCUUAGAUAUAACUUAGAACCCCGAUAGCGAAGGCAGCUUACCAGA
rnacentral:rRNA from 1 species